rnacentral:rRNA from 1 species
AGCAGGUUGAAGCGCGGGUAAGACCGUGUGGAGGACCGAACCCACCUGGGUUGAAAACCGGGGGGAUGACUUGGGGCUAGGGGUGAAAGGCCAAUCAAAUUCCGUGAUAGCUGGUUCUCUCCGAAAUGCAUUUAGGUGCAGCGUCGGAUCGAUUACAUCCGGGGGGUAGAGCGACUGGAUGCUUGCGGGCCCAUAUCGGGUACCAACAGCAACCAAACUCCGAAUACCCGUGAUGCGUAUCCCGGCAGUGAGUCGGCGGGGGAUAAGCUCCGUCGUCGAAAGGGAAACAGCCCAGAUCGUCGUCUAAGGUCCCCAAGCGUGUGCUAAGUGGGAAAGGAUGUGGAGUCGCAUAGACAGCCAGGAGGUUGGCUCAGAAGCAGCCACCCUUGAAAGAGUGCGUAACAGCUCACUGGUCUAGUGGUUCCGCGCCGACAAUGUAGCGGGGCUCAAGCACACCACCGAAGACGCGGCAGUAGCUUUGCUACUGGGUAGGAGAGCGUCCCAUGCGGGGCGAAGCGGCGGCGCAAGCCCGCCGUGGACCGCAUGGGAGUGAGAAUGCAGACAUGAGUAGCGAAAGACGGGUGAAGAUCCCGUCCGCUGGACGACCAAGGGUUCCAGGGCCACGUUCAUCGUCCCUGGGUGAGUCGGGUCCUAAGGCGAGGCCGACAGGCGUAGUCGAAUGGAUGAACGGGUCGAUAUUCCCGUACCGGCAUGCAACCGACAAAACCGAAUCCGCGAGUACUAACCUCCGGGUCCGGGCUUACGUCUCCUUCGGGAGCCGGAUGCCCUGGCCUGUUGGGACCGUAACGGUAGUAGGUCAGCGCGGGAGUGACGCAGAAGGGUAGCCGGCCGCGGAGGUGGUCUUCCGUGGUCAAGCACGCAGCCCGUCCCACAGGCAAAUCCGUGGGGCGCGUGGGCGAGGUGCGAUGAUGGGCGCCGCAGGGCGCGAUAUCCGGUGAUCCCGGCUGCCGAGAAAAGCUUCGGCGUGAGGCGGCGUGCCGCCCGUACCCCAAACCGACACUGGUGGUCAGGUAGAGAAUACCAAAGCGAUCGAGCGAAUCCUGGUCAAGGAACUCGGCAAAUCACUCCCGUUCCUUCGGUUUAAGGGAGACCCCCGAUGGUGAAGCGGCUUGCCCGUGGAGCUUUUGGGGGUGGCACAGACCAGGGGGUAGCGACUGUUUACCAAAAACACAGGAGCGUGCGAAGGCGCAAGCCGCUGUAUACGCUCUGACGCCUGCCCGGUGCCGGAAGGUUAAGAGGAUCCGUCAGGCUUCGGCCGAAGCGGUGAAUUCAAGCCCCGGUAAACGGCGGUGGUAACUAUAACCAUCCUAAGGUAGCGAAAUUCCUUGUCGGGUAAGUUCCGACCUGCACGAAUGGCGUAACGACUUCCCCACUGUCUCGACCAGGAGCUCGGCGAAAUUGCAGUACGAGUAAAGAUGCUCGUUAAGCGCAGAAGGACGAAAAGACCCCGGGACCUUUACUAUACCUUGGUAUUGGCAUUCGGUGUGGAUUGUGUAGCAUAGGCGGAAGGCUUCGAAGCCACGGCGCCAGCCGCGGUGGAGCCGCAAGGUGAAAUACCGCUCUGUUCGCAUUGGAUGUCUAACCUCGACCAGUCAUCCUGGUCAGGGACAGUGCCUGGCGGGUAGUUUAACUGGGGCGGUUGCCUCCCAAAGAGUAACGGAGGCGCUCAAAGGUUCCCUCAGCCCGGUUGGCAAUCGGGUGGCGAGUGUAAGU